rnacentral:sRNA from 2 species
ACUAGUUACAGUGUUCCCGAUAGGACUGAUUAUCCCUAGAUCCUUGUAACCGAAAAAAAUUGAGGGGGAAACUCAAAUG